rnacentral:tRNA from 1 species
GGGGCUGUAGCUCAGUGGUAGAGCACUUGUCUUGCAAGUGUGAGACACUGGGUUUGAUCGUCAGCACCA